AUAUUUUUUUUUUUACAUUUCUGGAAAUUUGACCCGUUUUCACCAGAAAAGGGAUAGGCCCAUUUUCGUCCGAAAUUUCGGUGCAUCCCUAGUUUGAACUGGAUUAUGUGAUCUAAAUCUUAAUAUACAUUUUAAAAAGAAAAUGGACCAUCUCAUUAAAAAAAAAUAAGUUGACACGAAUCAUAGGUAAUUUUCAAUGCUUUAUACAAUGAUGUAAUUUUGUGACAAUUUCCCUUUAAUAUUUUGUAUACAGCUUACUUAUAGCUCAACAAGCAAUGACUGUAGAUUUAUGAUAUUCACAUUUUUGGAAUCCAAGCUAAUGGACAUCUCAAAAUAUAAUUGAAAGAUACAUGGACUUAUUAAAGAGGCAGCGGGGUUAUUUGAGGCUCUGCCAAUUCAGAGCAAAUGCCAAUAAAGGCACUGGAGAAAUGAACAUGAAUUAAACUAAUCGGUGCCAGUUUGUGAGGGAAUUGUUUUUGUUUUGUUUGUUGUUUUCUAGAUUGGCACAGAACCUAGAGAUUUCAUGUUUGUUUGCCCAUUUUGAUUAUACAUGAAUUUAUUUUUAAUAAAUUAAUCAAAGUUUUAAUAAAAUUCUUGGAUACAUUUAUAAAUGCAAUAAUAGACCAUCUGUUUUAUUAGCAGAGUUGAGCGCCGGCCCUAUCAUGAAUUUAUUAUCUCAAAAUGUGCCCUGUCGGAAACUUAAAACACAAGCAUUUUUUACAGACAUAACUUGCCCUCUGCUGAAGUUGUCUUAAAUAAAAAAAAAAAUUCAAAAUCCAGGUUGUAAAAACAAGUUUAUGCUGCUUUUAAUUUUUUUUAAUUUUAUUUUAGACGUUGAUCGUUUCUUACCAACAAAAUUUUAUCUCCUCGAAUCAAGAUGAAUAGUAUGUAUACCCACGUAUUGCUGAUAUCAAGCACAAUUCAUACAUUUGUAUCGAAGACCAGUAAUGGCUGCACAGAAUGCGCAUAACUUGUUAAGACUGUUAUGGGUAACCUUGGGACUUCAGAGCUUUGUGAACUACAUUUCUGUAUUAAACAAAAAGUGAAGAAAGUGUUCCACCACUUCAAUAAAUAGUGAUGGUAAUACUAGUAAACUCAAAAAAGUGCUUACCCAAAACCUUUUAAAUAAAUCUAAAAGAUACAAAUCAUACUAAAAAUCACACCCAGUGUGUACAUACAUAAAAAUACUUUGUAUUAAAGAUAUUUCCAAUAGUGUAGUUCUAUAAUAUCCAGAGUAAAAGAAUCCUGUAUCUAAAAUGAGAUAAAUAAAAAAGAACAAACACAGUGCAGUGUGUAUGGUAAUAAAAAAAUAAAAAAAUUCUGCUGUGAUAUAGGAAUUGCAUUUACUUGAUGAAGAGCUGUACCAGGCUCCCUACAAGUAGCCCAUGGAUGCCGAUUCAGGCCUUAGUGUGCACAUCAAUCUUCAAAGUUAAUGGACUGCGAAAAUUUUUUGUACAAUAUAAAAAGUAUAUGCAUAAAAAAUAAUUUUACAAUAAAAUUUAAGGGGGGCAGGGAAAAUGCCAAUAAAAGUGACAUGGCCAAGUGAUUUUGGAAAUUUAGUUCACAAAACUGUGAAGGUUACACUUUCAUGUCCUAGGUCAUAUUGUAAUUGUUUUUUGGAUUUUAGAACGCUACAUUACACUUUACUCCCUACCCCCCCACCCCUCCCCCAUUGCUUACUAGCGUAAUGUCAUAUAAAUUUUUAUUUCUUAAUUAGACUUUCACAAUGUAUGUGAAAAUUGCCUUUUUGAAUGGGCUGCUUUAAGAUGUACCACGGUUACAAAGUAGGAAACAGCAGGGAAGUGUACGAAUUCUGUGUUUGCAAAGCAGGUAAACAGAGCAGUGUUAUGUUUUCAAGUUUCACAGAUAAACAUCUCUUACUUAACUUUGUGCAAUUCGAAACCGUCACAUUGCAAGAAGAGUGUAGAAUUCAGUGCUAGGAUCUUUUAUUUUCCAGUAUAACAGAAUACUUGUUUCGGACCGAAUGUCUUGGCAGAAAAAUCUGGCUGUAGUUCCCAUGAAUUUGUUUUCACUGAUCCUGAUCAUCUGCCUUACUUAAGAUCAGUCUCAGUCUACGUUUUUUUGUUUUUUUUUUAAUAUUGUAAUGUAAAUUAUUGAAUUGCUAACUAUAUAAAAGAAAAUUUAAACAUGUGCUUGUAUGUAACUGAACAUGGUUUAACCCUUAGAGUUGCUAAGAGGAAAGCGAUCCACAGAAUUACAAUGCUUUGCUUGCCCCUCUAGGGCACCAAAGCAUCGACGACCUUCAUUUAGUGUAUGACAUUUGGAGCUGGACAGUUUUAAUGCACAAGCAGUUCUGUUCGUAUGUAUAAUUGUAACCUGAUUUUACCGUGUAAAAAGGGUUACAUUUAAGUCUUUAGGUUUGUUUUUUUUUUUUGGUCAAAGACUCCUUUAGAUUGCUCGUUUAUGUCCAGACAUAAUCUUAUUCUUCGUGAAUCUUUUUGUUUGUGUAAUAUAAGAGUUUUUUGUUUUUUUUCCCCCUCUUUUUGUUCUUCCUUGAAAUGGCUUGUAUUCUGCUUUUUUGACAGCUUCUCAUGUAAAAGUCUUUAAAAUUAACAGUCUGUUUUAGAUUAUUUUUUUAAUUUUAUUUUUUUCCCUUUUAAUUUUCUUCUUCAUGCUAAAAUGUCAAUUUGGUGUUUUUUUGUGAACUGGUCAGAAAUUCACAGGUCUUUAAAUGUUUUUGGGAAAUUUUUAUUGAACACUUGCUAUUUUUGUCUAGCAAAUUGAAAGAUGUUAAUAUAUUCCUUGCUGGCAUGUGCACGGCUGUCAUAGAAGCCACUUUAUCAUUUUCUUCUGCUUUAAUUAGAAAUGUCUAUUUAUGAAUCCUGCUUGUAGUUUUUUUUUCCCACAAAUAAAAUAGUAAAAUUUAAACCUAAAUCUGUAUUUUUUAUUAUUCAAUCACUUUUUUCCCCUGAAUCCAAUUUCUAUCUUACUUGCUUUUAUCCUACUAUUACGUACAUGACUGGUUUCCAAAAAAAUGUUCUUCUUGUAGUAUUAUGAUUGUGUAAAUAUCAAUACAUAUAUGCUACUGUACAGUAUUAAUAUAUCUUUGUGGUUACUGUUCUGCAAUUUGCUGUUUUCUCAU